rnacentral:rRNA from 1 species
GUGGGGAAUAUUGCACAAUGGGGGAAACCCUGAUGCAGCGACGCCGCGUGAGCGAAGAAGUAUUUCGGUAUGUAAAGCUCUAUCAGCAGGGAAGAAAACGACGGUACCUGACUAAGAAGCCCCGGCUAACUACGUGCCAGCAGCCGCGGUAAUACGUAGGGGGCAAGCGUUAUCCGGAUUUACUGGGUGUAAAGGGAGCGCAGGCGGCCUUGCAAGUCUGAUGUGAAAGCCCGGGGCUCAACCCCGGGACUGCAUUGGAAACUGUAGGGCUUGAGUGUCGGAGGGGCAAGUGGAAUUCCUAGUGUAGCGGUGAAAUGCGUAGAUAUUAGGAGGAACACCAGUGGCGAAGGCGGCUUGCUGGACGACAACUGACGCUGAGGCUCGAAAGCGUGGGGAGCAAACAGGAUUAGAAACCCUAGUAGUCC